UUUGUACUCCCCCCGUCCCAAAAUUCUUGUCUUAAAUUUGUCUAAAUACGGAUGUAUCUAGUUACAUUUUAGUGUUAGAUACAUCCGUAUCUAAACAAAUGUAAGACAAAGAAUUUUGGGACGGAGGGAAUACUAC
rnacentral:pre_miRNA from 1 species